GAUGAACGCUAGCUACAGGCUUAACACAUGCAAGUCGAGGGGCAGCAUGAUUGAAGCUUGCUUCAAUCGAUGGCGACCGGCGCACGGGUGAGUAACACGUAUCCAACCUGCCGAUAACUCGGGGAUAGCCUUUCGAAAGAAAGAUUAAUACCCGAUAGCAUAGUAUUUCCGCAUGGUUUCACUAUUAAAGAAUUUCGGUUAUCGAUGGGGAUGCGUUCCAUUAGAUAGUUGGCGGGGUAACGGCCCACCAAGUCAACGAUGGGAUAGGGGGGUCUCGUAGAGGAAGGGUAACCCGGUACCCCCCAACUA
rnacentral:rRNA from 1 species